rnacentral:rRNA from 1 species
AUUGAACGCUGGCGGCAGGCCUAACACAUGCAAGUCGAGCGAGCGGAGGACGGGUGAGUAAUGUAUGGGGACUGCCCGAUAGAGGGGGAUAAACACUGGAAACGGUGGAUAAUCACGCAUACUAUCAGGUAACCCAUAUGGGAUUAGCUAGUAGGUGGGGUAAAGGCUCACCUAGGCGACGAUCGCUAGCUGGUCUGAGAGGAUGAUCAUCCACACUGGGACUGAGACACGGCCCAGACGCCUACGGAGGCAGCAGUGGGGAAUAUUGCACAAUGGGCGCAAGCCUGAUGCAGCCAUGCCGCGUGUAUGAAGAAGGCCUUAGGGUUGUAAAGUACUUUCAGCGGGGAGGCGUUACCCGCAGAAGAAGCACCGGCUAACUCCGUGCCAGCAGCCGCGGUAAUAC